rnacentral:rRNA from 1 species
GACGAACGCUGGCGGCGUGCUUAACACAUGCAAGUCGAACGGAAAGGCCCUGCUUUUGUGGGGUGCUCGAGUGACGAACGGGUGAGUAACACGUGAGUAACCUGCCCUUGACUUUGGGAUAACUUCAGGAAACUGGGGCUAAUACCGGAUAGGAGCUCCUGCUGCAUGGUGGGGGUUGGAAAGUUUCGGCGGUUGGGGAUGGACUCGCGGCUUAUCAGCUUGUUGGUGGGGUAGUGGCUUACCAAGGCUUUGACGGGUAGCCGGCCUGAGAGGGUGACCGGCCACGUUGGGACUGGGAUGCGGCCCAGACUCCUACGGUAGGCAGCAGUGGGGAAUAUUGCACAAUGGGCGGAAGCCUGAUGCAGCAACGCCGCGUGCGGGAUGACGGCCUUCGGGUUGUAAACCGCUUUCGCCUGUGACGAAGCGUGAGUGACGGUAAUGGGUAAAGAAGCACCGGCUAACUACGUG